ensembl:misc_RNA 7SK 7SK RNA
GGGUAGUCUGGCUGCAACACCUGUCACCCAGGGACCACGGGAUGGCUUAGCAGUGUCCCUUCGGCUGGCAUCACUCCAUGUGGGUCCCUGCUGCCCUGAAUCGUGCUAGGUCAAAGAGGGUGACCUUCCCCAGAAGAGAAGGCCCAUUCUUCCAAGAAGGAGACCUCUGGGCCCCUGCUAGGACCUCCACACAUGCUCUCAAGGAAACAGGUGCAAUGUGAGAAACUCAGGGCAUUCUGGUGCUAAAAUGUUAUGUGAAGAGGGAAAAGGAAAGGCAGCAAGAAGAGCAAAUUAGUGGGUAACCUUGCUUC